rnacentral:rRNA from 1 species
GAUGAACGCCGGCGGCGUGCUUAACACAUGCAAGUCGAACGAAGCACUUUAUUUGAUUUCCUUCGGGACUGAUUAUUUUGUGACUGAGUGGCGGACGGGUGAGUAACGCGUGGGUAACCUGCCUUGUACAGGGGGAUAACAGUUGGAAACGGCUGCUAAUACCGCAUAAGCGCACGGCAUCGCAUGAUGCAGUGUGAAAAACUCCGGUGGUAUAAGAUGGACCCGCGUUGGAUUAGCUAGUUGGUGAGGUAACGGCCCACCAAGGCGACGAUCCAUAGCCGACCUGAGAGGGUGACCGGCCACAUUGGGACUGAGACACGGCCCAAACUCCUACGGGAGGCAGCAGUGGGGAAUAUUGCACAAUGGGCGAAAGCCUGAUGCAGCGACGCCGCGUGAGCGAAGAAGUAUUUCGGUAUGUAAAGCUCUAUCAGCAGGGAAGAUAAUGACGGUACCUGACUAAGAAGCACCGGCUAAAUACGUGCCAGCAGCCGCGGUAAUACGUAUGGUGCAAGCGUUAUCCGGAUUUACUGGGUGUAAAGGGAGCGCAGGCGGUGCGGCAAGUCUGAUGUGAAAGCCCGGGGCUCAACCCCGGUACUGCAUUGGAAACUGUCGUACUAGAGUGUCGGAGGGGUAAGCGGAAUUCCUAGUGUAGCGGUGAAAUGCGUAGAUAUUAGGAGGAACACCAGUGGCGAAGGCGGCUUACUGGACGAUAACUGACGCUGAGGCUCGAAAGCGUGGGGAC